AACGAACGCUGGCGGCAUGCCUAACACAUGCAAGUCGAACGCCCCGCAAGGGGAGUGGCGGACGGGUGAGUAACACGUGGGAACCUGCCCAAUGGUUCGGAAUAACCGCGGGAAACUGCGGCUAAUACCGGAUAAGCCCUCUGGCAACAGAGGGGAAAGAUUUAUCGCCGAUGGAGGGGCCCGCGUCCGAUUAGGUAGUUGGUGGGGUAACGGCCUACCAAGCCUACGAUCGGUAGCUGGUCUGAGAGGAUGAUCAGCCACACUGGGACUGAGAUACGGCCCAGACUCCUACGGGAGGCAGCAGUGGGGAAUAUUGGACAAUGGGGGCAACCCUGAUCCAGCAAUGCCGCGUGAGUGAUGAAGGCCUUA
rnacentral:rRNA from 1 species